UAUGAGAGUAAAUAAUGAAUUUUAGCAUGACAGGCUUUUGAAGUGAUCAUACAUUCAUCUUCUGAGGAUAAGAAUGAUUUUGGUAAAGACAUAGAUGUAAAAGAUGUAGAAUUAGAGAGAUAAAUAAUUGAUUGGGGAGUAAACUGUUCAUGGCUGAUUGUUUGAUGAAAAUAAUCAAUACCAGUCUAGCAUCUCAGUUACAGAACCAGUCACCUACGGAACCAGACAAGGUGGAAAGGGAGGAAACUCAGCUUGAAGAUGAUUUACCACCAGAUAUGGACUAACUGACUUAAAGGAAGCGCUACAUCUUACAUAUAAAAAAAUAUUUCGAUGUUCGAGAAUACAUCUGACUGUUGUACUAAAACUAUCUCGUCAAUUGUUGACUACUAUAGAAGCUAACUUGAUCAAUGUUGAUAACACAGAAAAAUAACACACUUUUUGUGUGGCCUAUGUGAUGAGAGGUUGAGAAUGAUCAAAUAAUAGAAGAGCAUUUCAACAUAUAUUAAAAGUCAAUUGUUAAUUUUGAAGCUUGUGAUGCAUGAAUUAAUAACAAUGUGUUACUUUGAAUAUUACAAUGGAGAAAUGAAUAUCAAAGAGGAAUUGCUACAUAAGGAUUACUAAAGAACUUUAACACUUAAUUAUGCAAAUGAUUGUGUAGUGUUCUCAAAUGUUACUGAAUUGCUGGAUAAUUUCAAUUACUAGUAUAUGCUAUUUGCUGUACAAAAUUUGAGUUCUUUUUUCCCCUCUCUAUACUUGGAGAUUGGAAUUUAAACUUUUAAAGCAGCAAGCCUCCAGAUUUGUGCUAAUUUGCAUUAAAAUUUUGAAAAUGUAUAUAGAAUUAUUAUGUGGUGAAGUGAACAAAGAUAGUUAUUUACACAUUGCAAAAGACACAAUCCACAUAGAGGACAAAAUAAGCAAAAAUAGCCCUUACUGUGUAAGUCAUGAAGCAGAAAUAUGAUGAUCAAUGCUGCAAUAUCAGUCAUUAAUCACACACAACAUGUAAAUUAAUACUGGAAUCUUGAAUAUUUUAACUUUUCUUAAAUUUUUCAUUUUUCUCAAGUUUGUUUUUCUAGAAAUAUUUUGGCUCAUCUGGAGGCAUACAGCUUUAAAAAACCUUACAAGAUCAUAAGACAUUUUCCUAAAGAAACAUGAAGCUUUGUUCGUUAACUAUCAUAUAUUCUUAAUUUCCUCUUUUUUCUGUGCUGAGAACACUUUAUAUUUUUUUGCAACUGCUCACUGUUUUUGUUAUUGUUUUAAGAGACAUUUUCAUGUAUAUAUAAGUGAUUUUUCAUUUAUAAAUUAUAUACUGCUGCAUGUUAAUAUUCAUUUAAAAAUCUCAUGUGAACAUAGUUUUUUUUAUAUUAUAUUUAUAAUAUUCAUAUUUAUUGACCCUGUUCUGUGAUAUGGCAUUCAAAAAAAUAAUAAAAAAAGUUAAUGACA